rnacentral:rRNA from 1 species
GACGAACGCUGGCGGCGUGCCUAAUACAUGCAAGUAGAACGCUGAAGGAGGAGCUUGCUUCUCUGGAUGAGUUGCGAACGGGUGAGUAACGCGUAGGUAACCUGCCUGGUAGCGGGGGAUAACUAUUGGAAACGAUAGCUAAUACCGCAUAAGAGUAGAUGUUGCAGGACAUUUGCUUAAAAGGUGCAAUUGCAUCACUACCAGAUGGACCUGCGUUGUAUUAGCUAGUUGGUGGGGUAACGGCUCACCAAGGCGACGAUACAUAGCCGACCUGAGAGGGUGAUCGGCCACACUGGGACUGAGACACGGCCCAGACUCCUACGGGAGGCAGCAGUAGGGAAUCUUCGGCAAUGGACGGAAGUCUGACCGAGCAACGCCGCGUGAGUGAAGAAGGUUUUCGGAUCGUAAAGCUCUGUUGUAAGAGAAGAACGAGUGUGAGAGUGGAAAGUUCACACUGUGACGGUAUCUUACCAGAAAGGGACGGCUAACUACGUG